rnacentral:lncRNA from 1 species
GGGGGUGGCUUCAGCAUCAUCUCAGAGAAUCUUCAGAAAACUUUUCCUGGAGAUUAGGCUCAUUCAGUUGAAUUCCGUUCCGUAUGCUCAGUUGUUCCUGUCUUUGUGUCAAAGAGAGAUCCAUCAGCUGUGAAAUCUUGGACCGAUAAAAUUCAAAAGAACUGAGCACCUGACCAUAAGGUACCAAGGAGCCAUGGAUUUUGAGGAACGUUCCGUGAAACAAGUGUUGUAUGACCUACCUAGCCA